GACGAACGCUGGCGGCGUGCUUAACACAUGCAAGUCGAGCGGUAAGGCCCUUUCGGGGGUACACGAGCGGCGAACGGGUGAGUAACACGUGGGUGACCUGCCUCUAGCUCUGGGAUAAGCCCGGGAAACUGGGUCUAAUACUGGAUAUGACUCCAUGACGCAUGUUGUGGGGUGGAAAGCCUUGUGCGGCUAGAGAUGGGCCCGCGGCCUAUCAGCUUGUUGGUGGGGUGAUGGCCUACCAAGGCGACGACGGGUAGCCGGCCUGAGAGGGCGACCGGCCACACUGGGACUGAGACACGGCCCAGACUCCUACGGGAGGCAGCAGUGGGGAAUCUUGCGCAAUGGGCGAAAGCCUGACGCAGCGACGCCGCGUGA
rnacentral:rRNA from 1 species